AGCGCAGGCGGGAAGACAAGUUGGAAGUGAAAUCCAUGGGCUCAACCCAUGAACUGCUUUCAAAACUGUUUUUCUUGAGUAGUGCAGAGGUAGGCGGAAUUCCCGGUGUAGCGGUGGAAUGCGUAGAUAUCGGGAGGAACACCAGUGGCGAAGGCGGCCUACUGGGCACCAACUGACGCUGAGGCUCGAAAGUGUGGGGAGCAAACA
rnacentral:rRNA from 1 species